UACGGAGGGGGCUAGCGUUGUUCGGAAUUACUGGGCGUAAAGGGUGCGUAGGCGGCCAACUAAGUCAGACGUGAAAUCCCUCGGCUUAACCGGGGAACUGCGUCUGAUACUGGAUGGCUUGAGUUUGGGAGAGGGAUGCGGAAUUCCAGGUGUAGCGGUGAAAUGCGUAGAUAUCUGGAGGAACACCGGUGGCGAAGGCGGCAUCCUGGACCAACACUGACGCUGAGU
rnacentral:rRNA from 1 species